rnacentral:lncRNA from 1 species
AAAUUUGUAUGGGCCCAUACAGAUUGGUGGUUCGUAAUGGAUCAUACGAAUUACAAACAUGUAAAUUUGCUAGGGAUAAUUUUGAAAACAAUGAAAAAUGUUGGAUGUACAAGAAAAAACGUUGGGGGUGCAAAGCAAUUGCGGUAAUGGAUUUGAGAUUGGCAGGUUUUAUAACCCUAAUUAACUGGACUCCUUAAAGAUUGAAGAGUUGUUUGCCUUCCAUCUAGAAAUGAAAGCCCAUUUUUCCAUUACUAUGGGAUUUAGCUUUGCAACAGCUUGGGUAGAAGAAAUAAAAAAAAGCAAAUUAAAAAACUGGAUAAAUAUAGAAUAAUGUUCGUUUUUAAUGUCUAAUGUGUAUGGUCAACAAAAGAUUUUGGGAAAAAGAAAGUUUAAAAUCAAACUUAACAUUAUAUAUAUGCUUGCUCGAUAGAGGUACAACUCUUUUUUGUGCACAAAGUGCUAAAAUAUACUUUGAUAGAGUAUUAAAAAAUGUGUAACUAACAUUUUUGUUACAAUAAAAGUAAGUAUUAAAAGUCCUUUCAUUUUAAUUUGUGUUAAUUUUUCAUACAUCCUAUCAAAUGACUUCUCUUCAGUGACACAAGAAAUUACUUUUUUUUGCCAAUAUUUCAAUAAAACUCAGGCUACAAAGGCCCAAAACAGCUACAGAACGAAUGGCCUGGGCCAGGAGGAUCUGCCCACUUGUAUGUUCUUAUUAGUUAUUAGUACCCUUUCUC